UGGUGGAAAGGGUGGAGGACACACCUAAACAUGUGGAACCCCAAUGCCGGGCAGCCAGGGCCAAAUCAACAUCCCCCCAACAUCAAGUACCCUGGAGGUUCCAAUCCUGGCCACCCACCAGCCGUCAAUCCACCCUUUCCCCCAGGCCCCUUUCCUCCGCCCCCAGAAGCUCCCCAGGGCAAUCCAGCUUUCCCUUCAAGUGGGCCCCCUCCUCCUGUGCCAAAGCCAGAGUAUCCAAGAUCCAAGGGUAUCCUCCACCAUACCCACCGCCUGCCCCCUGGAAUGCCUCCUAUGAAUCCAUUGGCUCCUGGCAUGGUCGGAGAUGCACAAGAAGACGCAGAAGAAAAUGAAGAAAGCUCAUGAAAAGAUGCACCAGCACCACAAGCAUGGCGAGCAUUCCUCCUCCCCUUCCUCCUCCUCUUCCAGCAGUGACCCUUCCCUCAAGUCUCACCAGUUCCGCUCUCCCAUCAAGCUUCAGAUGCCAUGUUGUACUGGGGGAAAAUGGCCCUUGUGCUCCCCUCUCCCACCCCUACCUGAGCCUCACCCUGCUGUUCAGCCCUGA